UGCAAGUCGAGCGAACAGAUAAGGAGCUUGCUCCUUUGACGUUAGCGGCGGACGGGUGAGUAACACGUGGGUAACCUACCUAUAAGACUGGGAUAACUUCGGGAAACCGGAGCUAAUACCGGAUAACAUUUGGAACCGCAUGGUUCUAAAGUGAAAGAUGGUUUUGCUAUCACUUAUAGAUGGACCCGCGCCGUAUUAGCUAGUUGGUAAGGUAACGGCUUACCAAGGCGACGAUACGUAGCCGACCUGAGAGGGUGAUCGGCCACACUGGAACUGAGACACGGUCCAGACUCCUACGGGAGGCAGCAGUAGGGAAUCUUCCGCAAUGGGCGAAAGCCUGACGGAGCAACGCCGCGUGAGUGAUGAAGGGUUUCGGCUCGUAAAACUCUGUUAUUAGGGAAGAACAAAUGUGUAAGUAACUGUGCACGUCUUGACGGUACCUAAUCAGAAAGCCACGGCUAACUACGUGCCAGCAGCCGCGGUAAUACGUAGGUGGCAAGCGUUAUCCGGAAUUAUUGGGCGUAAAGCGCGCGUAGGCGGUUUCUUAAGUCUGAUGUGAAAGCCCACGGCUCAACCGUGGAGGGUCAUUGGAAACUGGGAAACUUGAGUGCAGAAGAGGAAAGUGGAAUUCCAUGUGUAGCGGUGAAAUGCGCAGAGAUAUGGAGGAACACCAGUGGCGAAGGCGACUUUCUGGUCUGUAACUGACGCUGAUGUGCGAAAGCGUGGGGAUCAAACAGGAUUAGAUACCCUGGUAGUCCACGCCGUAAACGAUGAGUGCUAAGUGUUAGGGGGUUUCCGCCCCUUAGUGCUGCAGCUAACGCAUUAAGCACUCCGCCUGGGGAGUACGACCGCAAGGUUGAAACUCAAAGGAAUUGACGGGGACCCGCACAAGCGGUGGAGCAUGUGGUUUAAUUCGAAGCAACGCGAAGAACCUUACCAAAUCUUGACAUCCUUUGAAAACUCUAGAGAUAGAGCCUUCCCCUUCGGGGGACAAAGUGACAGGUGGUGCAUGGUUGUCGUCAGCUCGUGUCGUGAGAUGUUGGGUUAAGUCCCGCAACGAGCGCAACCCUUAAGCUUAGUUGCCAUCAUUAAGUUGGGCACUCUAGGUUGACUGCCGGUGACAAACCGGAGGAAGGUGGGGAUGACGUCAAAUCAUCAUGCCCCUUAUGAUUUGGGCUACACACGUGCUACAAUGGACAAUACAAAGGGCAGCUAAACCGCGAGGUCAUGCAAAUCCCAUAAAGUUGUUCUCAGUUCGGAUUGUAGUCUGCAACUCGACUACAUGAAGCUGGAAUCGCUAGUAAUCGUAGAUCAGCAUGCUACGGUGAAUACGUUCCCGGGUCUUGUACACACCGCCCGUCACACCACGAGAGUUUGUAACACCCGAAGCCGGUGGAGUAACCAUUUAUGGAGCUAGCCGUCGAAGGUGGGACAAAUGA
rnacentral:rRNA from 1 species